rnacentral:rRNA from 1 species
AACGAACGCUGGCGGCAGGCCUAACACAUGCAAGUCGAGCGAGGGGUAACCCUAGCGGCGGACGGGUGAGUAACGCGUGGGAACGUACCCUUUGGUUCGGAAUAGCCCUGGGAAACUGGGAGUAAUACCGGAUACGGUCGAGAGACGAAAGAUUUAUCGCCGAAGGAUCGGCCCGCGUUGGAUUAGGUAGUUGGUGAGGUAAUGGCUCACCAAGCCGACGAUCCAUAGCUGGUUUGAGAGGAUGAUCAGCCACCCUGGGACUGAGACACGGCCCAGACGCCUAAGGGAGGCAGCAGUGGGGAAGCUUAGACAAUGGGCGCAAGCCUGACCUAGCCAUGCCGCGUGAGCGAUGAAGGCCUUAGGGUUGUAAAGCUCUUUCAGGGGGGAAGAUAAUGACUGUACCCCCAGAAGAAGCCCCGGCUAACUCCGUGCCAGCCGCCGCGGUAACA